rnacentral:rRNA from 1 species
AGAGUUUGAUCCUGGCUCAGGAUGAACGCUGGCGGCGUGCUUAACACAUGCAAGUCGAGCGAAGCACUUAUCAUUGACUCUUCGGGGGAUUUGAUAUUUGACUGAGCGGCGGACGGGUGAGUAACGCGUGGGUAACCUGCCUCAUACAGGGGAAUAACAGUUAGAAAUGGCUGCUAAUGCCGCAUAAGCGCACAGGACCGCAUGGUCUGGUGUGAAAAACUGAGGUGGUAUGAGAUGGACCCGCGUCUGAUUAGGUAGUUGGUGGGGUAACGGCCUACCAAGCCGACGAUCAGUAGCCGACCUGAGAGGGUGACCGGCCACAUUGGGACUGAGACACGGCCCAAACUCCUACGGGAGGCAGCAGUGGGGAAUAUUGCACAAUGGGGGAAACCCUGAUGCAGCGACGCCGCGUGAAGGAAGAAGUAUCUCGGUAUGUAAACUUCUAUCAGCAGGGAAGAUAGUGACGGUACCUGACUAAGAAGCCCCGGCUAACUACGUGCCAGCAGCCGCGGUAAUACGUAGGGGGCAAGCGUUAUCCGGAUUUACUGGGUGUAAAGGGAGCGUAGACGGACUGGCAAGUCUGAUGUGAAAGGCGGGGGUUCAACCCCUGGACUGCAUUGGAAACUGUUAGUCUUGAGUGCCGGAGAGGUAAGCGGAAUUCCUAGUGUAGCGGUGAAAUGCGUAGAUAUUAGGAGGAACACCAGUGGCGAAGGCGGCUUACUGGACGGUAACUGACGUUGAGGCUCGAAAGCGUGGGGAGCAAACAGGACUAGAUACCCUGGUAGUCCACGCCGUAAACGAUGA